GACAGAGGGUGCAAACGUUGUUCGGAAUUACUGGGCGUAAAGCGUGUGUAGGCGGCUACAUAAGUCGGAUGUGAAAGCCCCGGGCUCAACCCGGGAAGUGCACUCGAUACUGCGUAGCUUGAGUCUCGGAGAGGUUGGUGGAAUUCUCGGUGUAGAGGUGAAAUGCGCAGAUAUCAGGAGGAACACCAGCGGCGAAGGCGGCGCUCUGGGCCGGAACUGACGCUGAGGAGCGAAAGCGUGGGGAGCGAUCAGG
rnacentral:rRNA from 1 species